GAUGAACGCUGGCGGCGCGCCUAACACAUGCAAGUCGAACGGCACCCACCUCCGGGUGGAAGCGAGUGGCGAACGGCUGAGUAACACGUGGAGAACCUGCCCCCUCCCCCGGGAUAGCCGCCCGAAAGGACGGGUAAUACCGGAUACCCCGGGGUGCCGCAUGGCACCCCGGCUAAAGCCCCGACGGGAGGGGAUGGCUCCGCGGCCCAUCAGGUAGACGGCGGGGUGACGGCCCACCGUGCCGACAACGGGUAGCCGGGUUGAGAGACCGACCGGCCAGAUUGGGACUGAGACACGGCCCAGACUCCUACGGGAGGCAGCAGUGGGGAAUCUUGCGCAAUGGGGGGAACCCUGACGCAGCGACGCCGCGUGCGGGACGGAGGCCUUCGGGUCGUAAACCGCUUUCAGCAGGGAAGAGUCAAGACUGUACCUGCAGAAGAAGCCCCGGCUAACUACGUG
rnacentral:rRNA from 1 species